UACGAAGGGUGCAAACGUUGCUCGGAAUCAUUGGGCGUAAAGCGCACGUAGGCGGCGCUGCAAGUCGGACGUGAAAUCCUUCGGCUCAACCGAGGACGUGCAUCCGAAACUGCAGUGCUCGAGUAUGGAAGAGGGUCGCGGAAUUCUCGGUGUAGAGGUGAAAUUCGUAGAUAUCGGGAGGAACACCAGUGGCGAAGGCGGCGACCUGGGCCAAUACUGACGCUGAGGUGCGAAAGCGUGGGGAGCAAACAGG
rnacentral:rRNA from 1 species